CCCUUAGAUGUCCUGGGCCGCACGCGCGCUACACUGAACGGAUCAGCGCGUUUUCCCUUCCCGAGAGGGACGGGUAACCUGCUGAACCCCGUUCGUGGUAGGGAUCGGGGCUUGCAAUUAUUCCCCGUGAACCAGGAAUGCCCAGUAAGUGCAAGUCAUAAGCUUGCGCUGAUUACGUCCCUGCCCUUUGUACACACCGCCCGUCGCUACUACCGAUUGAACGUUUUAGUGAGGUACUCGGACUGAGCCUCAGAAGAUUCACGUCUUUUGUGCUGCUCGGGAAGAUUCCCAAACUUGAGCGUUUAGAGGAAGUAAAAGUCGUAACA
rnacentral:rRNA from 1 species